GACGAACGCUGGCGGCGUGCUUAACACAUGCAAGUCGAACGGAAAGGCCCUGCUUUUGUGGGGUGCUCGAGUGGCGAACGGGUGAGUAACACGUGAGUAACCUGCCCUUGACUUUGGGAUAACUUCAGGAAACUGGGGCUAAUACCGGAUAGGAGCUCCUGCUGCAUGGUGGGGGUCGGAAAGUUUCGGCGGUUGGGGAUGGACUCGCGGCUUAUCAGCUUGUUGGUGGGGUAGUGGCUUACCAAGGCUUUGACGGGUAGCCGGCCUGAGAGGGUGACCGGCCACAUUGAGACUGAGAUACGGCCCAGACUCCUACGGGAGGCAGCAGUGGGGAAUAUUGCACAAUGGGCGGAAGCCUGAUGCAGCAACGCCGCGUGCGGGAUGACGGCCUUCGGGUUGUAAACCGCUUUCGCCUGUGACGAAGCGUGAGUGACGGUAAUGGGUAAAGAAGCACCGGCUAACUACGUG
rnacentral:rRNA from 1 species